CAGCCGCCGCGGUAAUACGUAGGGUGCGAGCGUUAAUCGGAAUUACUGGGCGUAAAGCGUGCGCAGGCGGUUAUAUAAGACAGAUGUGAAAUCCCCGGGCUCAACCUGGGACCUGCAUUUGUGACUGUAUAGCUAGAGUACGGUAGAGGGGGAUGGAAUUCCGCGUGUAGCAGUGAAAAGCGUAGAUAUGCGGAGGAACACCGAUGGCGAAGGCAAUCCCCUGGACCUGUACUGACGCUCAUGCACGAAAGCGUGGGGAGCAAACAGGAUUAGAUACCCGCGUAGUCCCUGUCUCUUAUAC
rnacentral:rRNA from 1 species